rnacentral:rRNA from 1 species
GCAGUAGCCGCGGUAAUACGGAGGGUGCAAGCGUUAAUCGGAAUUACUGGGCGUAAAGCGUGCGUAGGCGGUUCGUUAAGUCUGUUGUGAAAGCCCCGGGCUCAACCUGGGAAUGGCAAUGGAUACUGGCGAGCUAGAGUGUGUCAGAGGAUGGUGGAAUUCCCGGUGUAGCGGUGAAAUGCGUAGAGAUCGGGAGGAACAUCAGUGGCGAAGGCGGCCAUCUGGGACAACACUGACGCUGAGGCACGAAAGCGUGGGGAGCAAACAGGAUUAGAUACCCCUGUAGUCCCUGUCUCUUAUAC